GAGGUUCAUGGAUGUGCUGAGGGAGGACAUGCAGGUGGUUGGUGUGACAAAGGAAGAUACAGAGGACAGGGAGAGAUGGAAACGAUUGAUCUGCUGUGGCGACCCCCUAACGGCAGCAGCUGAAAGAAGUUCUUUCUACAAUUAUUUUGUCACAAGGGUCCCUUUAUUCACAAUUAGCAUUCACCACAUCCAUCUUUCAUCUCUUCAGCAUUCUGCUAGUGAUGAAAAUAAAUACCAUUCAUGAUUCACCAAGAACAAAAAAAAUAUUAAAUCAUCCUGUUAACAACCAUGUCAUUAAUUAUGAGCGGCCGAACUUCGAGAGGCAGGGCUAUGACAUCA